ACGCUGGCGGCGUGCUUAACACAUGCAAGUCGAACGAUGAAGCCUAGCUUGCUAGGUGGAUUAGUGGCGAACGGGUGAGUAAUACGUGAGUGACCUACCUUUGACUCUGGGAUAAGCCUGGGAAACUGGGUCUAAUACCGGAUACGACCAAUCUCCGCAUGGGGUGUUGGUGGAAAGCGUUAUGGAGUGGUUUUAGAUGGGCUCACGGCCUAUCAGCUUGUUGGUGAGGUAAUGGCUUACCAAGGCGACGACGGGUAGCCGGCCUGAGAGGGUGACGGGCCACACUGGGACUGAGACACGGCCCAGACUCCUACGGGAGGCAGCAGUGGGGAAUAUUGCACAAUGGGCGCAAGCCUGAUGCAGCGACGCCGCGUGAGGGAUGACGGCCAUCGGGUUGUAAACCUCUGUUAGCAUCGAAGAAGCGAAAGUGACGGUAGGUGCAGAGAAAGCGCCGGCUAACUACGUGCCAGCAGCCGCGGUAAUACGUAGGGCGCGAGCGUUGUCCGGAAUUAUUGGGCGUAAAGAGCUUGUAGUCGGUUGGUCGCGUCUGCUGUGAAAGGCUGGGGCUUAACCCUGGUUUUGCAGUGGGUACGGGCUAACUAGAGUGCAGUAGGGGAGACUGGAAUUCCUGGUGUAGCGGUGGAAUGCGCAGAUAUCAGGAGGAACACCGAUGGCGAAGGCAGGUCUCUGGGCUGUAACUGACGCUGAGAAGCGAAAGCAUGGGGAGCGAACAGGAUUAGAUACCCUGGUAGUCCAUGCCGUAAACGUUGGGCACUAGGUGUGGGGGACAUUCCACGUUUUCCGCGCCGUAGCUAACGCAUUAAGUGCCCCGCCUGGGGAGUACGGCCGCAAGGCUAAAACUCAAAGAAAUUGACGGGGGCCCGCACAAGCGGCGGAGCAUGCGGAUUAAUUCGAUGCAACGC
rnacentral:rRNA from 1 species